AUGUCUCGCCAUCGUCGUCAGCCCUCUCGAGCUAUCCCGUCGGAGAUAUUCGCCGCCGAUGACAUCUUCUCCAAACCAUUCGACUUGGCUCAGGUCAUUACCAUCCAAGAAGAUGAACCAACCACGGCUCCUCCUCCUUCUCCUUCUCCUUCUCCUGUAACCACCACCAACUCCACUCCCGCCGUCACUACUUCUCCGGUGAAAUCAAACUCGCCGGCGGUUGGAAAAUCUGCCUGA